GCCCAGCUCAUGUUCUUCUUCCCCCUGUCUUCCUUCUUCUUCAUUUCUUCUUCUUUGUUCUUCUGCUUGAACGACCCACAGUGAGAGAAUGAGGGAGAGAUCGUGGGAUUGAGAGAGAGUGGAGAGACAGAGAGAUGAGACCGAGAGAGAGAUGCCGUGAGGAAGACCUGACCUCCGUGAGGUCCGGUUUUUCGGCCAACCAUGGUGAGUCGCAAGGGACGUCGGCGGAGCUGGAGGACGGGAUUUCCGGCGUGGCAGAGUGAUUUCCGGCGGAACCCAGACCCAAUUUCUGGCAAACCCAUGCGUUGAAACCCAUCUAACCCGUGAGACCCGAGAACCCGUUGAACCCGAUCCUCCAUGAUCGGCGGCCGGGGCUGAAAUCCGGCUGUCCCUUUAGCAGUUUCCGGCGACUUUUCCGGCGGAAACAGUGGCGUUUUUUUGGUGGACUCGCUAUGAAAAUCAUUGGGGUACUUCGGUAUAGUCGAUGGGUCGGUAGAAGUGUGCUUGGGAUAUUAUGACUGAAGCUCACCGCGACGGUUGUAAUUGUCGGACCACGGGUUGUCCACUGUUUUAUAGGUUUGGUAUAGCUUGUGACGUUUGUGUCACAUAUUCUUUGUAAAGCUAUAGUAGUUUUGUAAAUAAUGUGUUAAUAAGACUCAUACAGAUAGACGUUAAAUGGCUCUUUGUGGUAAUUAAUUUGUAAUAGAUGUAUAAGUUGUAAUUUCCGCUAUUCAGAUU